GAUGAACGCUGGCGGCGUGCCUAAUACAUGCAAGUCGAGCGAGAAACUUCGGUUUCUAGCGGCGGACGGGUGAGUAACACGUGGGCAACCUGCCUCACAAUGGGGGAUAGCCUUCCGAAAGGAAGAUUAAUACCGCAUAACACAAAGGAAACGCAUGUUUCUUUUGCCAAAGAAUUUCGUUGUGCGAUGGGCUGGCGGCGCAUUAGCUUGUUGGUGAGGUAACGGCUCACCAAGGCGACGAUGUGUAGCCGACCUGAGAGGGUGAUCGGCCACAUUGGAACUGAGACACGGUCCAGACUCCUACGGGAGGCAGCAGUGGGGAAUAUUGCACAAUGGAGGAAACUCUGAUGCAGCAACGCCGCGUGAGUGAUGAAGGUCUUCGGAUUGUAAAGCUCUGUCUUCUGGGACGAUAAUGACGGUACCAGAGGAGGAAGCCACGGCUAACUACGUGCCAGCCGCCGCGGUAACAC
rnacentral:rRNA from 1 species